UCCAUAAAAAAAAGAGGAAGGAAAGAAUCUGCAUGUGUCACCAGAUUCUACAGGUUCAAAGGAAAUCCAUAAAAAAAGAGGAAUGAAAAAGAUCUGCAAGUGUCACCAGAUUUAGAGUCUACAGCUUCAAUGGAAAUCCAUAAAAAAAAGAGGAAGGAAAGAAUCUGCAUGUGUCACCAGAUUCUACAGGUUCAAAGGAAAUCGAUAAAAAAAAGAGGAAGGAAAAAAAAUCUGCAACUGUCACCAGAUUUAGUGUCUCCAGUUGUAGGUGCACAUGCAAACCUGAGGAACCCAAAAAGAAAAUUCAUUCCUGCUCAAUUCAGAAAAAACAUCCACCAGGGAUCCUCUAAUUUGGAUGAUGAUAAUGGCUUUUGCACCGAUACGCCAUGUUUAUUUGAAAAAGACGUUAUUCCUCCAACUACUAAACCACUCAUAUAUACAAUACGAGAUGAUUCAGAAGACUCCAACGCAUCAGUCCCUGGAAAACAGACCUCUCCUAACCUGUUUGAAGUCUAUGGAACACCCAAAAUUUUGGCACCUGAUUUGGAGAAAGAUAAGAUAAUUUCAGAUGAUGAAUGUACGCAAUCUCCUGCUGUGGCAUCCAGUCCUAUGCCCGAAAUUUCUGGUCCAAGGGCAAGAAAAACAACUGAGGAACCUGUGCUGUCUUCUGCAGAUCUAAUGAAUAUAAUUACAACAGCAUUGGAUAACAGUCACAAUUAUAUGCAUGAAGAUGUCCAAGUUUUGGAACGAGAAUUGAGUUCAAU